UGGGGAAUAUUGCACAAUGGGCGCAAGCCUGAUGCAGCCAUGCCGCGUGUGUGAAGAAGGCCUUCGGGUUGUAAAGCACUUUCAGCGAGGAGGAAGGGUAGUGUGUUAAUAGCACAUUGCAUUGACGUUACUCGCAGAAGAAGCACCGGCUAACUCCGUGCCAGCAGCCGCGGAAAUAAGGAGGGUGCAAGCGUUAAUCGGAAUUACUGGGCGUAAAGCGCACGCAGGCGGUUUGUUAAGUCAGAUGUGAAAUCCCCGCGCUUAACGUGGGAACUGCAUUUGAAACUGGCAAGCUAGAGUCUUGUAGAGGGGGGUAGAAUUCCAGGUGUAGCGGUGAAAUGCGUAGAGAUCUGGAGGAAUACCGGUGGCGAAGGCGGCCCCCUGGACAAAGACUGACGCUCAGGUGCGAAAGCGUGGGGAGCAAACA
rnacentral:rRNA from 1 species